GACGAAGGGGGCUAGCGUUGUUCGGAAUUACUGGGCGUAAAGCGCGUGUAGGCGGUUGUCCAAGUUGGAUGUGAAAGCCUUGAGCUCAACUCAAGAAAUGCAUUCAUGACUGGAUGACUAGAGGACCGGAGAGGAUAGUGGAAUUCCCAGUGUAGUGGUGAAAUACGUAGAGAUUGGGAAGAACACCAGUGGCGAAGGCGGCUAUCUGGACGGUUUCUGACGCUAAGACGCGAAAGCGUGGGGAGCAAACAGG
rnacentral:rRNA from 1 species